GUGAAUCAUCAAAUUUUUGAACGCAAGUUGCGCUUCCUGGCAUCCCGGGAAGUAUGCCUGUUUGAGGGUCAGUAUUAAUAAAAAAUCGGUUUAGUUAGAAAUUGUGACUUUUUCGGAGUUUUGGCUGUGUUAACGUUUUUGGUUAAGAGGAUUAAAAUUGUCCUUUUUUGCGCAUUUUUAAACGUACAUCAAUUUUUUUUAUUCGUCUAUUCUUUUUUCCCAAUUCUUAUUAGAUGCGAUCACAUCGUGUGGCUUUGUGUCC
rnacentral:misc_RNA from 1 species